rnacentral:rRNA from 1 species
CGGGGGGAGCAAGCGUUGUUCGGAUUUACUGGGCGUAAAGGGCGCGUAGGCGGCCACCGCAAGUCGACUGUGAAAUCUCCGGGCUUAACCCGGAAAGGUCAGCCGAUACUGCGGGGCUAGAGUGCAGUAGGGGCAACUGGAAUUCUCGGUGUAGCGGUGAAAUGCGUAGAUAUCGAGAGGAACACCUGCGGCGAAGGCGGGUUGCUGGGCUGACACUGACGCUGAAGCGCGAAAGCUAGGGGAGCGAACGGGAUUAGAUACCCCGGUAGUCCUAGCCUUAAACGAUGAAUGCUUGGUGUCUGGGGUUUUAUAGUCCCCGGGUGCCGUCGCUAACGCUUUAAGCAUUCCGCCUGGGGAGUACGGUCGCAAGACUG